rnacentral:lncRNA from 1 species
AUGCAGAAAUGGUGCUGGCGGCCAAAUGGCGGCGGCGCUGAACCUUCAGCUCCCGAAGGAGCCGGCGGGACUGCAGAGGGACAGCCAGAACCCAAAGAGCCCAAAGGAGGAGAGGGAAACACCAACACACAUAGCGAGCGAGAGGGAGAGAAAGGGAGAAAGGCAGGAGGAGAAAUGGAGAGAGAUGGGGUGAGACGGUCCUGGGGGGAGCAGGACCCCCCCGACCCCCUGCCCCCACAGCAUCACUGCCCCGGAGUGUGGCCCCAAACGCCCGCAUGGUGCACAGUGCUCACCUUCCAGCCCCGUGCGUACGCCUGCAGCAGCAGCACCGAGCGCUUCAUCUGCUUGUACCGGUUCCUUUGCUGCAGGGGGAGCAGGGGGGGGUCACACCCUUGGACGCCCCAUGCCCCCAGCCCAGGGGGUGAAUGGGGAAGGGUGCAGCACAGCCAGGACCCCCUCCUCACCGCAUGGCCGCGGAACCAUGCGGAGAUGAGGAUUUGGCUCUUGCGCAUCAGCUGGUACCGCUUCUGGCAGCGCCAACCGCGGAACGUCGCCUGGAUGAGGGUGGCCAACUCGGCCACGCGCUGCUGGCGCCGCUUCUCCAGGUCAAAGAGCUGCAGAUGGAGCAGAGCUGAGGGCUGUGCAGCCAGAACCCCCAACCCCACACUCACAGUUCGUGGCGAGCGGAUGAAGAUUUUGGUGUGGCCGUACGCCACCUCCUCGGGGGGGAACUUCAGCUCCGCCAGCAGCACCUCAGUGCCCUCCCUGCAGCACGCAGGGAUGCUCAGACCCUGCACCCCACAGCAGUGGGGCUGCGGGACGUGCAACCACCCAGCCCCCCCUUUCUCCCCCUGACCUGUCACUGCCCAUCCAGUGGGGCCAGGUCCUCCUGCUCAGCAUCUUGUAGCGCUUCAGGAAGGGCUGGUAGAGCUGGCGGAAGGCGUAGCCUGCACGCCGUACCCGCACGUUCUCCAUCAGCCCCAGGUAGCGCACCUGAGCCAGCACCAGAUCCGGAGUGAAGAGCAUUGCUGUCUUGGUGUCAUUGGGUUUGAUGCACCUGGGGAGGGAGGGGGUGGGGGCAGCGGUGGGCACGGGGGGGGGGGUCCCACUGUGUACCCCACACACGUGGUCCCGCCUGGCACUACCUGAUGUAGUUGGGGUUCUUGGAGUAGAGGUUCUUCAUCAGCGUCGCCACAGAUGCCUUGAACUGGGAGCCGGUGGUGGGGGGCAGUUUGAGGGAGGGUCUUUGGGGGUCACCCUCGGGGAAGAGGGAGCGCAGCAGAGUGUGCCGGGCGGCCCACAUGGCCUGGGACAGGUCACGGAACAGCAGGUCGUUGUUCUUCUCGAUGAAGCCUGUCACGUUGUAGGUCACCUGGGGAUGGGAGCAGGGUCAGUGCCAUGGAAGGGCUGGGAUGAGGACUGGGUCAGGGGAGUGGGAGCAGGGCCAGCGUGUGCCCCAGCCCCACGGAAAGGAUGGGAGGAGGACUGGGUGCCCCGCUUUUCCCCGGGGAUGGGGCUGCGGGUGCCCUGCACCUUCCCAGCAUAGUGGUGGAUGCGGAAGCAGCGCAGCGGCAGGCUGACGUCGGUGACGUGUUUGGCGUUCAGCGUCUCUUUGCUCUCAUAGCGUUUGUGGGAGGCGAAGAUCUGGUUCAGUUUGGUGAUGAAGGUGUCCUCGUUCACGGUGCCGGGCCGCAGGCACUCCUCGUCCAGCAUGGCCAGGAUUCCAAUCUUGCUCUGUGCCGUGGGGGGACAGCGUCACCCCCAGCCCACCCCAAAACUGCCCCAAAAUGCCCGAGCGCAGAGCAUUGGCCCCACUGAACCACUUCAGGACCUGAAAGCCCCACUCUGGGGGCAGGAACUCACGUUCUCAAUGAGGUCGCAGAUGAUGCUGUUGUCAAAAAACUCCACUGGCGUCCACUGGAUGCCCUGGGAGCAGAGGGGUGUCAUGCACAAGCCCUGCCCCAUAGGCACCCCCCAUUGGUGUAGGGCAGGAAGCGGACGUCCGGCCGCCGGGACGGGGAUCCCGAAUCCCUCCCCGCCUUCCUGCCAUUGAGUUGCUCUCCCGGUGGGGGGCGGUGAGGAAGGGACGCGCUGUGGGGCCGUCUGGGGCGCUUCCCCAUCCCACUGAGGCUCCCCAGAGCCACAUCCCUUUGGGGUCAGCGUUACCUCUCGGACGUAUUCCUCCUGCUCCUCCUUCAGCGUCAUCAGGAUGAAGAUCUGCUGCAGCUUCUCGUUGCAGUAGUUGAUGAUGAACUGCUCGAAGCCGUUGUCCUAUGAGAUAAGCGACCCGAAUGGCAGAUGUGUGCUGGAGACCCCACCCCACAUCCCUCCUGCAGACCCCCGCCCCACAGCCCUCCUGCUGCCCCUCACCUGGAAGAUCUCGAAGCCGUAGAUAUCCAGGACUCCCAUCACCUUCCUCUGCUUUCCUGGCUUCACCUGGGGCACAGAGAGACUGAGCCACAUCCCUGUUGGGGGGGGGUCAGCACACGGUUGUGGGUUACCUGGGGGCUCACCUUGAUGCUGGUGUUGAUGCGGUUCACCAGCCAGUCGAACAGGCGGCUGUAGAUGUUCUUGGCCAAUGCAUCACGGCCGUAGUAGCCCUGGGGAGAGGGGAGGGGGCGCUCACAGGGGGGGUCCCAUGGUGUGAGCCCAAGGCGGGGGGGGGGCAUCCCUGCUCACCUGGGAGACGCUGAGCGCAGUCAGCACGCUCUCAUCCCGCACCUUCACAGUGCGUGAGCACAGCGCCUGCUCCAGAGUGCUGGGGUCCAGCCCGAUCAGCUGGCUGAUCUCCUGCAGCUCUGUGCCGGACAAAGCGGUGC